AUUCUUUUGUUUGUUUCGAGUAAAUAUUUGAUUUUUUUUUUCUCUUAUCAAAAAAUCAAAAAAGUUUGCUUUAGACUUCUCAUUUGAACAUGUCGAUCUAAGAGAAACAAUUUCCAUAGUGAACAAUAUUGAGUUUUGACAACUUAAACUUUAUAAAUCUGGGUUCCAAGUAAUUUUAUGGGUUUCUCCUUUCUGUUAUCCAAAAAUAAAAUACGGUUAAUUUGGACUUGUCAUUUGAAUGGUCCGUGCUAAGAGAGAGAUUUUUUGAUAGUGAACAUUGUAUAUUAAGGAAUUAUAACCCUUUAUAAAUAUGAGUUUUAGGAUAUUGUUGAUAAUACAACUCAACGAUUUACAAGAUUUUAUAAAAGAUGUUUUUUAACAAGAGUUCAUCGCAUAUGUUUAUAGGGCAACAUAUAAAUGUGUGAACUAAAGAAGUCUUGUGUUGUGUUAUUCUAUAUUAUUUGUAAGACUGUUGUCGAAAUACACGAACCCUAUGCUUGGAUAAGUUAGACAGCAAUGAAUCUUGCACAUCUUCAUGAUUGCCUCCAAGGAUUUAUGAAGCUGGAACAUAACCACUAGACAAUCCAAAAGUGAUUAUCCAAUCGGUGUCUUGGUCAAUAAUGUUAAGUGUUUUAUAAAAGAUUAUAAAUGUAGUUUUAUAGGGGCUUAUAAAUUUAUAAAUUAGAGAGACUUAUAAUACAUUGUUUAUUCUUUGUUACAUCUUGUGGUUAAUACAUUAUUUGGAUUCUCUGAGGAAUACAAACAUUUGGUGAUCCCAACACAUCCUGAUCUUGGAUGACAUGGAUUUUUACAGUCUUGUGCAAUUAGUUCAACAAGGAUAUAAAAUGAAGAAAAGCUAAGGGGAACGAGGAUUUGUGGCUUUACUUUUUGCAGCAUAUAUUGUACGGCAAUAACACAUGAAAGAAGAUAAAAAUGAAGAGAAAAGAAAGCUUAAGAGAAAAUAAAAGUUUAUAAAUAAUUUAUAAAAAUAUAUAAAACGGUUUGUAAAGUUUAUAAGCUAUUUAUAAAGGUUUAUAUAUUAUUUGUAAGAGUCUCGAAACCAUUUAUAAAUGUUUACAUUUAUAAAGGUUUAUAAAACAAUUAAUAAAGUCUAUAAACUAUUUAUAAUUGUUUAUAAAAACGUUAUAAAAGUAUAUACACAAUUAAUAUGGGUUAUGUAUUCAAUUUAUAAGGUUUAUAGGUUUAGGAACCAAUUAGAAAGUAUCUUAAAUCAUUUAUAAGAGUCUACAGUAAUUUAUAAGGACAUAUAGAAACAAUUUAUAAGAGUUUGUAAAAUUGUUUAUAAGGGUUUAUAAGGAUAUAUAAAUAAUUAAUAAGAGUUUAUAAAUCAUUUAUAAAAAUUACUAAAAAUAAUUUCUGAAUUUUAUAAAACUUUUAAAAAGAGUUUGUAAAAUUGUUUAUAAGGGUU